rnacentral:rRNA from 1 species
GAUGAACGCUGGCGGCGUGCCUAAUACAUGCAAGUCGAGCGAACAGACGAGGAGCUUGCUCCUCUGACGUUAGCGGCGGACGGGUGAGUAACACGUGGAUAACCUACCUAUAAGACUGGGAUAACUUCGGGAAACCGGAGCUAAUACCGUAUAAUAUAUUGAACCGCAUGGUUCAAUAGUGAAAGACGGUUUUGCUGUCACUUAUAGAUGGAUCCGCGCCGCAUUAGCUAGUUGGUAAGGUAACGGCUUACCAAGGCAACGAUGCGUAGCCGACCUGAGAGGGUGAUCGGCCACACUGGAACUGAGACACGGUCCAGACACCGACGGGAGGCAGCAGUAGGGAAUCUUCCGCAAUGGGCGAAAGCCUGACGGAGCAACGCCGCGUGAGUGAUGAAGGUCUGCGGAUCGUAAAACGCUGUUAUUAGGGAAGAACAAAUGUGUAAGUAACUAUGCACGUCUUGACGGUACCUAAUCAGAAAGCCACGGCUAACUACGU